rnacentral:rRNA from 1 species
GACGAACGUUGGCGGCGUGCUUAACACAUGCAAGUCGAACGAAGUGGCGUACGGGUGAGUAACGCGUAUUCAACCUGCCCUUCAGAGGGGGACAACAGUCGGAAACGACUGCUAAUACCGCAUACUGAAGGAGGGGAUUGCGUCUGAUUAGCUAGUUGGAGGGGUAACGGCCCACCAAGGCCAUUAUCAGUAGCAGGUCUGAGAGGAUGAGCGGCCACAUUGGGACUGGGACCCGGCCCAGACUCCUACGGGAGGCAGCAGUGGGGAAUCUUCCGCAAUGGACGAAAGACUGACGGAGCAACGCCGCGUAAGUGAUGACGGUCUUCGGGUUGUAAAGCACUGUUAAUCGGGACGCGGUACCGGAAUAGAGAGCCACGGCUAGCUACGUGCCAGCAGCCGCGGUAAUAC